rnacentral:rRNA from 1 species
UACAGAGGUCCCAAGCGUUGUUCGGAUUCACUGGGCGUAAAGGGUGCGUAGGCGGUCAUUUAAGUCUGACGUGAAAUCUCCGGGCCUAACCCGGAAACUGCGUUGGAAACUAUCUGACUAGAGGAAUGGAGGGGAGAUUGGAAUACUUGGUGUAGCAGUGAAAUGCGUAGAUAUCAAGUGGAACACCAGUGGCGAAGGCGAAUCUCUGGACAUCUCCUGACGCUGAGGCACGAAAGCCAGGGGAGCAAACGGG